rnacentral:rRNA from 1 species
UUCCGAGCCUUGUGUGCAGGAGAGAAGAGUGGAACUCACAGAGUAGCGGUGGAAUGCGUAGAUACUGUGAGGUACCCCGAUGUCGAAGGCAACUCUCUGUCCUGCUACCGACGCUGAAGCGCGAUAGCGUGUGGAGCAAAGAGGAUUAGAUACCUCCGUAGUCCACGCCCUAAACAAUGUUCACUUGGCGUCGGCCGCUUAUACUGGUCGGUGCCGAAGCUAACGCGUUAAGUGAUCCGCCUGAGGAGUACCGCCGCAAGGCUAAAACUCAAGAGAAUUGACGGGUCCCUGCACAAGCGGUGGAGCACGUGGUUUAAUUCGAUGAUAAACGAAGAACCUCACCCAGGCUUGACAUUCUAGUGGUAGGAACCUGAAAGGGGGACGACUCUGCCUUCGGGUAGAGAGCUAGUACAGGUGAUGCAUGGCUGUCGUCAGCUCGUGUCGUGGGAUGUUGGGUUCAGUCCCGAAACGAGCGCAACCCUUGUCGUUAGUAGCCAGCGGGUAAUGCCGGGGACUCUAACGAGACUGCUGGUGAAUAUCCGGAGGAAGGCGGGGAUGACGUCAAGUCAUCAUGUCCCUUACGCCUGGGGCGACACCCAUGCUACAAUGGGGGGUACAGAGGGUCGCAAUCCCGCAAGGGGGAGCCAAUCCAUAAAAACCCCUCCCAGUUCGGAUUGAGGUCUGCAACUCGACCUCAUGAACCCGGAAUCGCUAGUAAUCGCGGGUCAGCCAUACUGCGGUGAAUAUGUACUCAGGGAUUGUACACUCCGCCCGU